rnacentral:rRNA from 1 species
CCUACGGGGGGCAGCAGUGGGGAAUAUUGCACAAUGGGCGCAAGCCUGAUGCAGCCAUGCCGCGUGUGUGAAGAAGGCCUUCGGGUUGUAAAGCACUUUCAGCGGGGAGGAAGGCGGUGAGGUUAAUAACCCCAUCGAUUGACGUUACCCGCAGAAGAAGCACCGGCUAACUCCGUGCCAGCAGCCGAGGUAAUACGGAGGGUGCAAGCGUUAAUCGGAAUUACUGGGCGUAAAGCGCACGCAGGCGGUCUGUCAAGUCGGAUGUGAAAUCCCCGGGCUCAACCUGGGAACUGCAUUCGAAACUGGCAGGCUAGAGUCUGGUAGAGGGGGGUAGAAUUCCAGGUGUAGCGGUGAAAUGCGUAGAGAUCUGGAGGAAUACCGGUGGCGAAGGCGGCCCCCUGGACAAAGACUGACGCUCAGGUGCGAAAGCGUGGGGAGCAAACAGGAUUAGAUACCCUAGUAGUC